AAGUAGGCCUACAUCUAUAAGUAUGUCUAAAUUCUAUCAAAUCCUGGGAAUAGAAAGAAAUUCAAAUUGUGUAUCAGGACCACAAAACCUUAAUAUCUAUUGAAUCCCCCUGAACCACAAUAUCUACUGGGCUUAAAGAUAAUUUGCUGGCGAACCGCAAAAUCUGGUGACAAGACAAUUGCUUGCGAGAAGCUAUUUUAAAAAUAAGGAACUUUGGGCCUCAAAAAGUUGCCAACUAAUGUCGAAAAACUUAGUAUCGACCUGGCCCAAAACCGGCACACUGGCAUAUGUCCAAUUUCGAGAGCCUCCGGCGCUUCUGCUGCAGCGGAUUUCAAAACUGAAUCUCAGAACUCGCCAUCAAUCGAUCGCCCCACUAUCUAUUGUUGCUGUCGUUGCUGGGUUGGCCUGGCAGUCAAUAAAAUUAUGAAUGCCACUUAUUAGACCGCACUAUUUCUGGGCAGCGCUUCGCUUCGCCUCACCGGAUCGCCGGAUUGCUGGAGCUGCAGUUGAUGUAUGUAAAUAUAAUGAAGCGAAUAUCGGGCUAAUUAAAAUAAAUUCAGGGCGUGGCGAGCUCUCAUGCCGUUUGCAAUUAAAUUAAUUGCCCGCCAUUGCCUAGCCGUCGACGGCUGACUGGAGUUGCAUAAGUCGGCUGCCUCUUGGCCAUUUGAGGUGGCUAUUGUUGGAUGCGGAACUGCGGCCCCAAAGAAAAGGAAACGGCAAUUGAGUUACUGAUCCAAUUUGAAAUGAACUCGGGAAUGAUAAAUAUAAAUUACAGCCUUAUGGUU